rnacentral:lncRNA from 1 species
GGAAUAGGAUGGAGGAGGAAGAUAAGGAGGAGAAGAGGAUGGAAAAGAAGAAGUUGGAGAAGACAAGAAGGAAUGGAGGUGGAAAAGACCACUGUGGAAAGGGAGGAGAAUGAUUUAUGAGCAGCUUGGAGAAGAAGAAUGAGGAGGAGAAGUAGAUGAAAAAAAAAGGAGAGAAAAUAGAAGAAUACGUGGAGAAAGGAGAGGAGAUGGAGGAAUGAGGAGGGAGAAAGAGGAGGAAAGGGAAGAGAUGGAGGAGGAAAAAUAGAUGAGAAGGAAGAGGAGGAAGGAAAGAAAGAGAAAAAAGAUGAGGAAGGAGGAGGGAGAAAGAGGGAUGUUGGAUGUAAUCAAUCGAAGAAGAAGGAGGAGGAAGGAG